GAUGAACGCUGGCGGCGUGCCUAAUACAUGCAAGUCGAGCGAACAGACGAGGAGCUUGCUCCUCUGACGUUACCGGCGGACGGGUGAGUAACACGUGGAUAACCUACCUAUAAGACUGGGAUAACUUCGGGAAACCGGAGCUAAUACCGGAUCAUAUAUUGAACCGCAUGGUUCAUUAGUGAAAAACGGUUUUGCUGUCACUUAUAGAUGGAUCCGCGCCGCAUUAGCUAGUUGGUAAGGUAACGGCUUACCAAGGCAACGAUGCGUAGCCGACCUGAGAGGGUGAUCGGCCACACUGGAACUGAGACACGGUCCAGACUCCUACGGGAGGCAGCAGUAGGGAAUCUUCCGCAAUGGGCGAAAGCCUGACGGAGCAACGCCGCGUGAGUGAUGAAGGUCUUCGGAUCGUAAAACUCUGUUAGUAGGGAAGAACAAAUGUGUAAGUAACUAUGCACGUCUUGACGGUACCUAAUCAGAAAGCCACGGCUAACUACGUG
rnacentral:rRNA from 1 species